rnacentral:rRNA from 1 species
UUAACAAAAACAUGUCCUUUUGAUAAUAAUUUAAGGUCUAACCUGCCCACUGAAUUUUUAAAUGGCCGCGGUAUUUUGACCGUGCAAAGGUAGCAUAAUCAUUAGUUUUUUAAUUGAAAGCUGGUAUGAAUGGUUGAAUGAGAAAGCAGCUGUCUCAAGUUUAUUUUUUUUAGAAUUUUAUAUUUAAGUCAAAAAGCUUAAAUUUAAUUAAAAGACGAGAAGACCCUAUAGAAUUUUAUAUGUAUUAUUUUAAUUAUUAUUAGUUUUGGGUUAUUUUUAAUUUAAUGUGAUAUUUUGUUGGGGUGACAGAAAAAUUUAAUUAACUUUUUUUAAAUUUUUUCACUAAUUAGUGUUUGUUUGAUCCAAAGAUUUUUGAUUAUAAGAAUAAAUUACCUUAGGGAUAACAGCGUAAUUUUUUUUGAGAGUUCUUAUCGAAAAAGAAGAUUGCGACCUCGAUGUUGGAUUAAAGUUUAUUUAUGGUGCAGAAGCUAUACGAUUGGGUCUGUUCGACCCUUGAAACUUUACAUGAUCUGAGUUA